rnacentral:rRNA from 1 species
UACAGAGGGUGCGAGCGUUAAUCGGAAUUACUGGGCGUAAAGCGUGCGUAGACGGUAGCGUAAGUCGGGUGUGAAAGCCCCGGGCUCAACCUGGGAAUUGCAUUCGAGACUGCUCUGCUAGGGUGCGGAAGAGGGAAGCGGAAUUUCCGGUGUAGCGGUGAAAUGCGUAGAUAUCAGGAGGAACACCAAUGGCGAAGGCAGCACUCUGGGACGUGACUGACGCUGAGACGCGAAAGCGUGGGGAGCAAACAGG